GUUUGAUCAUGGCUCAGGAUGAACGCUAGCGGGAGGCUUAAUACAUGCAAGUUGAGCGGUAAGUUAUUUAUAGCAAUAUAGAUGACCUAGAGCGGCGCACGGGUGAGUAACGCGUACAUAACCUGCCCUAUACAGGAGGAUAGCCUUGGGAAACUGAGAUUAAUACUCCAUAGUAUUAUUUAGUUGCAUAAUUAGAUAAUUAAGGAUGAGUCGGUAUAGGAUGGAUGUGCGUCUGAUUAGCUAGUUGGUAGGGUAACGGCCUACCAAGGCGAUGAUCAGUAGGGGGCGUGAGAGCGUGGACCCCCACACGGGUACUGAGACACGGACCCGACUCCUACGGGAGGCAGCAGUAAGGAAUAUUGGUCAAUGGAGGAAACUCUGAACCAGCCAUCCCGCGUGAAGGAUGAAGGGGCUCUGCCUUGUAAACUUCUUUUGUCUGGGGCGAAAAAGCUCGAUUUAUCGAGAACUGACGGUACCAGAAGAAUAAGCACCGGCUAACUCCGUGCCAGCAGCCGCGGUAAUACGGAGGGUGCAAGCGUUAUCCGGAAUCACUGGGUUUAAAGGGUGCGUAGGCGGCUUAGUAAGUCAGUGGUGAAAGGCUGUGGCUUAACCAUGGAAUUGCCAUUGAUACUGCUGAGCUUGAAUGAGGUUGAGGUUGGCGGAAUGUGACAUGUAGCGGUGAAAUGCUUAGAUAUGUCAUGGAACACCGAUUGCGAAGGCAGCUGACUGGGCCUAUAUUGACGCUGAGGCACGAAAGCGUGGGGAGCGAACAGGAUUAGAUACCCUGGUAGUCCACGCCCUAAACGAUGCUUACUCGUUGUUUGACUGAAAAGUUGAGUGACUAAGAGAAAUCGAUAAGUAAGCCACCUGGGAGUACGAC
rnacentral:rRNA from 1 species